rnacentral:lncRNA from 10 species
GUGUUCUUGUAUCACUGACUGAACUUCUUUAAGAUGAUUAUUUUGAAAUAUUUGUCACAUAGUUUCUAGAUCGCGAAUUCUUUAGGGUCAGUUACUUAGUGCUUUAUUUUGUUCCUUUCUUGGUGUCAAGUUCCCCUGAUUAUUUGUGAUCAUUGUGGAUUUAUGUUGGUGUCUGUGCAUUUGAGGAAGUGGGCGUCUCUUGCAGUCUUUGCAACUGACUUCAGCAUGGAAAGCCGUUUACAAAUCAGCCUGUCCAGGGAUUCAGGCUGGAACAGCUGGCGAGGCCUAUGAGCAGGUUUACUGCUGGAGUCCUUGGGUAGGCUGCCUUGGUGACUGAUCAGUGGGGACUUGGGCCUGAUACCUUGGUCCAUAAGACAUGGGCCUGGUUCUGGGGCAGUCCUGGAGCCUCCAUAUGUGGAAGGCGUUCUGGAGCUGAGGUGCCAUAAUCUUUCACCUGGGUUCCUUAGCUCUUGUGAAGGUAUCUUCAUGCAUGGAUGGUAGUUCAAACUGAUGUUUCUUUGAAAGACUCUGGCCUUGUCAAAAGAAGGACGUAAGAAGGCACGAUGUAUUAUACUUGGGAAUGAUAGAAGAGACUGACCUGGUAUUUCCACCCGGAAGAGGGAAAGGAUUUUAACUACAAAUACAGGAAUCCAGCAGAUGGCAUCAGAGAACACUAUAAAAAAGAAACGAUUUGCAACAGCCACCUCUCUUCCAAAACAAUUCCUUACUUCUGUGGUCUGCAAGGCGGUUUUUUGAAUGGAACAGAACAUAGUAAUAUAGGAAAACACAAUGAUGAGAAAAGCCAGCAAGUUCACACCUGUUGGGAAAAGCACACUUUUAACAUCUCAGGCGUAAAAGUCAACAGUAAAAUUACUGUGGUACAGGUUGAGUAUCCCUUACCCAAAAUGUUUGAAACCAGAAAUGUUUUGGAUUUCGGAUUUCGGAAUAUUUACACAUUCAUAAUGAUAUAUCUUGGAAAUGGUUCCCAAGUCUAAACACAAAAUUUAUUUAUGUUUCAUAUACACCUUAUACACAUAGUCUGAAAGUAAUUUUGUACAAUAUUUUAAAUAAUUUUGGGCAUGAAACAAAGUUUGCAUACAUUGAACCAUCAGACAGCAAAAGCUUCAGGUGUGGAAUUUUCCACUUGUGGCAUCAUGUUGAUGCUCAAAAAGUUCCAUAUUUUAGAGCAUUUCAAAUUUUGGAUUUUCAAAUUACAAAUGCUUAACCUGUACUUAGAUGUUAAAUACAGUGCCUCUUCCACGGGCACUUCCAGGAAGCAUUCUUUUAUAUAAGCCCAGUGGUGUUAGGUAAAACCCAGGUUCAAGGGAAUAAAAACAAAGAAAUUGGGUUCACCAGAUGAAAAAGAGAUUUCAAAUACAUAAACCCUUAUGAGGAAUUAUAGACUUCUAAAAUUCAGAUCUAGGCAUAUCAUGAAGUAAACUCUAGCUCUUUUAAAGCAUGAAAAGAAGCUAUUUUUGUUUUCAGCUCUCUGCAGAUUCAAACCUUAAGGGAUUACUGUAAUCAUAUGCACAUCUCAAAAAAUAAAAACAACCCCAUUUUCUUAUCCUAUAAACAUGA